rnacentral:lncRNA from 1 species
AUGCACAUGUUGCUCGCACAGCUCAACCAACUGAAGCCAACAUCUACUAUAAAAACUCAUAAUUGAGUUAAUAUUUAUGUGUAGUCAAAUUAUAGUAGUCUUAUUGUGAGCAAUUAUGACACCACAAAUCAAACGACCAGUCAUACAACUACAACAUCGAGAUGAUCGAAAAAAAAUUCAUGUAAUCUCUCGUAUGGUCACACUU